CUCAACCCCGGAAGUGCGACUGAAACUGGCAGGCUUGAGUAUGGGAGAGGGAAGUGGAAUUCCUGGUGUAGCGGUGAAAUGCGUAGAUAUCAGGAGGAACACCGGUGGCGAAGGCGACUUCCUGGACCAAUACUGACGCUGAGGCGCGAAGGCGUGGGUAGCAAACAGGAUUAGAUACCCUGGUAGUCCACGCAGUAAACGGUGAUCACUAGGUGUUGCGGGCUUUGAUGUCUGCAGUGCCGAAGCAAACGCAUUAAGUGAUCCGCCUGGGGAGUACGGCCGCAAGGUUAAAACCCAAAGGAAUUGACGGGGGCCCGCACAAGCGGUGGAGCAUGUGGUUUAAUUCGACGCAACGCGAAGAACCUUACCUGGGUUUGACAUCUGGGGGAUGCCAUGGAGACAUGGCAGUGCCCUUCGGGGAGCCC
rnacentral:rRNA from 1 species